CUCCUCUCGAUAGAAUGGGAGGUAAGAUCUGCUCCAUGCGUUAUUGUAAAUUGCCGCAGUAUUCUGACUGUGCUAAGGUAGCAAAAUAAUUUGGCUCUUUAUUGGAGUCUGGAAUGAAUGAUUUGACAAAGUCUGUUCUGUCUCACCUUUAAAUCUUGAAAUUGGAUUAUUUGUUAAAAUACAAAUAUGAGAGAGAGGGACGAAAAGACCCUAUAGAUCUUUACUUUCUUCAUUGAACUUUUCUUAUUCUUUCAUUGGAUUAAGUUUGCUUGGGAUAAGACUAAAAGGUGAAUUUUGGUCACAGAGAAAGACUGAUUAGUCAAAGGGAUGAAUAAAAAAAAGACAAGUUACCUUAGGGAUAACAGGAUAAUUUUUUUACUAAGAACUUAUUAAUAAAAAAGUUUAUUACCUCGAUGUUGAAUUAAGUUUUCUUCUACUCGAAGAAGGGUGUGGGAGUUAGUCUGUUCGACUAUUUAAAACUU
rnacentral:rRNA from 1 species